rnacentral:rRNA from 1 species
CACGAAGUUAGCCGGGGCUUCUUCUGCGGGUACCGUCAUUAUCUUCCCCGCUGAAAGAGCUUUACAACCCUAAGGCCUUCAUCACUCACGCGGCAUGGCUGGAUCAGGCUUGCGCCCAUUGUCCAAGAUUCCUAACUGCUGCCUCCCGUAGGGGUCUGGGCCGUGUCUCAGUCCCAGUGUGGCUGAUCAUCCUCUCAGACCAGCUACUGAUCGUAGCCUUGGUGGGCCAUUACCCCACCAACUAGCUAAUCAGACGCGGGCCGAUCUUCUGGCGAUAAAUCUUUCCCCCGAAGGCUUAUCCGGUAUUAGCCCAAGUUUCCCUGGGUUGUUCCGAACCAAAAGGCACGUUCCCACGUGUUACUCACCCGUCUCGCCACUCCGUAUUGCUACGGCGUUCACUUGCUAUUGUUUAGUCUGCCGCCAGUCGUUCGCUCUGGACUCGAGGAUACCAAACUCU